rnacentral:lncRNA from 1 species
GGCGGAGCUAGGCCGAGAAGAAAAUCUGGCAGGCGAAAUAGACUUCUUACCAUCCACCUUCGGUAAUAUAAAGAACUUUAGCCGACGAAAUUCUUUAUUUUCGUCGGCUAAACUCUUUUGAAAAUUUUGAAAAUUUUGGUUGCCCACCAAAAAAUUUUGGUUGAAAAUUUUGAAAAUUUUCGACUUUAGCCGACAACUUUUCAUAUAUUUUCGUCGGCUAAAGUCCUUUGAAAAUUUUCCUCCAAAUUUGGUUUACCGCCCAAAAAUUUUUGACCUUAGCCAACGACUUUUUUAAUAUCUCGUCGGCUAAAGUCUAUAAAUUCACGAAAAUGCUCAUAUCUCCCUGUAUAUUAUGUAGUUUGGUCAAACCUUCCACACGAAAAACUUUUACGUAGAUGAGACGCAACCGCCUAUAUAAAAAUUUUGAGACAUUUGCCUUCCGACGAUAGGGCUCCCCAUAGGGAAUAAUAACGGUAAAUAGGGUUGACCGCUACUAUCGGCACCGAAACUUUACCCGAUUUACGUGAUUUUUGUACCAUAGCCGUAUUUCACCAUUCUGAACACAUCUUAUUUCACGAGAUUUUUGAUAAUUUUGCUUCCUAUAUAGAGUUGGUUCACAAAGUUGUAUAACCUACUAAACAAGUUAUACAACAUUAGUAGACACGUUGUGAUUCCGAUGACUAAAAUUCACAAACCAAAAUUCGACCGUCAAAUAAGAUCAUUAUGACGAAAGAUGUCUAUGGUAAAAAAUUCAACUGGAUCCGACAACGUUAAUAACUCGAUCGAAACGGGUAACCCUAAUCCAUCGUCACUUAUCACACGAAAACGCUCAUAUCUCCCUCUAUAUUACGUGGUUUGGUCAAACCUUCUACACAAAAAACUCUCACGUAGAUGAGACGCAACUGCUCAUAUAAAAAUUUUGAGACAUUUACCUUCCGACGAUAGGGCUCCCCAUAGGGAAUAAUAACGGUAAAUAGUAGACACGUUGUGAUUCCGAUGACUAAAAUUUACAAACCAAAAUUCGACCGUCCAAUAUGAUCAUUAUGACGAAAGAUGUUUAUGGUAAAAAAUUCAACUGGAUUCGACAACGUUAAGGGCUCGAUCGAAACUGUCAACUCUAAUCGGAAAUAAAAAAACUGCAUUUUGAAGCCCUAAACGGACUCGGAUGGACAAAAAGGCCCAUACAUCAUGGCAUUAGCAAUGAGUUUGACUCGUAGGGCCGUUACGCUUCCGGAAAGGUAUCACAAUAGUCAAUCAGACACCAAAAACCAAAUCUGCAGCAUAGUGAAUAAUAAC